rnacentral:snRNA from 1 species
AACAUUACAUGAAUGUUAAAGUU